rnacentral:rRNA from 1 species
AUUGAACGCUGGCGGCAGGCCUAACACAUGCAAGUCGAACGAGUGGCGGACGGGAGAGUAAUGUCUGGGAAACUGCCCGAUGGAGGGGGAUAACUACUGGAAACGGUAGCUAAUACCGCAUACCAUCCACUGGGCCCAGAUGGGAUUAGCUAGGCGGUGGGGUCAUUGCUAACCUAAGCGACGAUCCAUAGCUGGUCUGAGAGGAUGAACAGCCACUCGUGAACUGAGACACGGUCCAGACUCCGACGGUAGGCAUCAGUGGGGAAUAUUGCACAAUGGGCGCAAGCCUGAUUCAGCCAUGCCGCGUGUAUGCAGAAGGCCUUCGGGUUUUAAAGUACUUUCAGCGUGUAGGCGUUGCCCGCAGAAGAAGCACCGGCUAACUCCAUGCCAGCAGCCGCGGUAAUAC